rnacentral:lncRNA from 1 species
UUCUUACCUCGUUUGUAAAGGAGCAUUAGUAAGAUUUUAAGGCGAUGCAUUUUGAGUCCAUAUUGUAUUUCAUUUUGGCUGGCAUUUGAAACCGUUGAGCAUGAAAUCUUUUAAAGAAAAUAUUGGGCAUGAAGGACAACAUCUUGCGAUCUACUUCUUGAGAGUUAUCCUUCUGUGGCAAUAAUAAUAAGAAUGUUCUUGAACAUUCUGAAAUUUGUUAAAGUGCUUAAAUGAUUUCUUCUCACCUAUUUUAAAAGCCUCGGAGAUUUUGCUGGAGAAAUUGUAGAUAAGAAUCCAUACCUAUAUUAUAACCUUUUGCUAAUAUGGUUAAUGAUCGAUGUUUGCUACCUCUUUUAUUCACUGGAAGGAUGUUGUAAUUGAUGUUCACCCUUGUAGGAAGCUUAUUCUACCCCCAUUCAGCCAAUAGAUGUUCUCGCCGACAAGCCUCCUGAAAAGAAAUUUGAAUGGGUGAGUCAUCCACAUGGCAUUAUGCAUCGAUUACUAAUUAGUUGUUCCCUGUCUUGCAAUUUCUGAUGCUCGAUUGCGACUUUCAUGUGUUGGCAUUCUCUGCAAACCGGCACGAUAUGAUUCAACUUGCUUCAGGCAAAGGUAAGUCUACUUCUUUCUGCGUAUUCAUCAUACUUCCGAAACAUUCCCAGUCUAAAGCUCAUUGAUUUAAAAUGAUUCGGUGUAUGCAGAGGCUGUUAGCUAAAUAUGGAUCGCUGGUGUCUGUUCUGACAUUGGUCGGAUUGUUCGUCUACGUGAUUGCAACUCCAUCAAAGUCAAGCAAGAAGAAGCGCUAAUUUGAUUUCCGAUUGAUUG